rnacentral:rRNA from 1 species
GUAGGUGGCAAGCGUUGUCCGGAAUUAUUGGGCGUAAAGCGCGCGCAGGCGGUUUUUUAAGUCUGAUGUGAAAGCCCACGGCUCAACCGUGGAGGGUCAUUGGAAACUGGAGAACUUGAGUACAGAAGAGGAAAGCGGAAUUCCACGUGUAGCGGUGAAAUGCGUAGAGAUGUGGAGGAACACCAGUGGCGAAGGCGGCUUUCUGGUCUGUAACUGACGCUGAGGCGCGAAAGCGUGGGGAGCAAACAGGGAUUAGAUACCCUGGUAGUCCACGCCGUAAACGAUGAGUGCAAGUGUUAGGGGGUUUCCGCCCCCUUAGUGCUGCAGCUAACGCAUUAAGCACUCCGCCUGGGGAUACGGCCGCAAGGCUG